AGCAGCCGCGGUAAUUCCAGCUCCAAUAGCGUAUAUUAAAGUUGUUGCAGUUAAAAAGCUCGUAGUUGAAUUUCGGGGUUAGCAAGUUGGUCGUGCCUUUGGUAUGCACUGGCUUUGCUGAUUCCUCCUUCUUGAAGAACUGUGAUGCUAUUAAUUUGGUGUUGCAGGGAAACAGGACUGUUACUUUGAAAAAUUAGAGUGUUUAAAGCAGGCUAACGCUUGAAUACAUUAGCAUGGAAUAAUGAAAUAGGACGUUUGAUCCUAUUUUGUUGGUUUCUAGGAUUGACGUAAUGAUUAAUAGGGAUAGUUGGGGGCAUUAGUAUUCAAUUGUCAGAGGUGAAAUUCUUGGAUUUAUUGAAGACUAACUACUGCGAAAGCAUUUACCAAGGAUGUUU
rnacentral:rRNA from 1 species